rnacentral:rRNA from 1 species
AUUGAACGCUGGCGGCAUGCUUUACACAUGCAAGUCGAACGGUAACAGGCCUUCGGGUGCUGACGAGUGGCGAACGGGUGAGUAAUGCAUCGGAACGUACCCAGAGGUGGGGGAUAACGCAGCGAAAGCUGUGCUAAUACUGCAUGUGAUCUGAGGAUGAAAGCGGGGGACCGAGCAGCAAUGUUUGGCCUCGCGCCUUUGGAGCGGCCGAUGUCGGAUUAGCUAGUUGGUGGGGUAAAGGCCUACCAAGGCGACGAUCCGUAGCUGGUCUGAGAGGACGACCAGCCACACUGGGACUGAGACACGGCCCAGACUCCUACGGGAGGCAGCAGUGGGGAAUUUUGGACAAUGGGCGCAAGCCUGAUCCAGCAAUGCCGCGUGCGGGAAGAAGGCCUUCGGGUUGUAAACCGCUUUUGGCAGGAACGAAACGGUGUCCGCUAAUACCGGGCGCUAAUGACGGUACCUGCAGAAUAAGCACCGGCGAACUACGU